rnacentral:misc_RNA from 1 species
AAGUCGUAACAAGGUUUCCGUAGGUGAACCUGCGGAAGGAUCAUUAACACGUAUCCAAACGUAAAAAACCCCCCCCGUGAACAUUCAAUCCUGCUCUUGUAACCCGCGUAGUUCGCAAUCUCUGGUAAAUCAUAGCCCGGAAAGUAGUUUUGAUUCAGAGACCUCUGGCUACGUGAGAACAUUGGAACAGUUACAAUCGAGCGGUAGUUUCAUAGGCAUUGUUUCCCCAAGCAGUCAGUGUCGGAAAGUGUCACUGAUUGUGCAAGGAUAGCGCUUCACGAUUCCUGUAGACCGUACACUCGGGCAGGAGCUAUGCCAAAGGGUCCCCAUGCCCCCUUAUAACCCCACAGUUUAAUGUAAAGCUCAAUGUAAUACAUUGGGUAAAAAAACCGAACAACUGUUAACAAUGGAUAUCUUGGUUCUC